ACCCGCCUUACCGUUCAGCCUCUGUCGCUCAUGGGGACGGUAUGAGUUCUCUCAUUUUCAUGAUCCAGCAGCAGCCAGAAAAAUGCUGACACAAAUAUCCUUGUGGAUAACCAGCCCAGUCGCACACAUUCAGCCUGUGAAGGCGAACACAACGGCAAGCUGCUGCAGCAAGCCCUUCCCAAUCCCCUUCUCAGCCCCCCUCCCCUUCUGUGGCCCAAUCCCCCUCUCUUUCCCAAUCCCCUUCUCAGCCCCCCUCCCCUUCUGUGGCCCAAUCCCCCUCUCCUUCCCAAUCCCCUUCUCAGCCCCCUUCCCCUUCUGUGGCCCAAUCCCCUUCUCCUUCCCAAUCCCCUUCUCAGCCCCCCUCCCCUUCUGUGGCCCAAUCCCCCUCUCCUUCCCAAUCCCCUUCUCAGCCCCCCUCCCCUUCUGUGGCCCAAUCCCCCUCUCCUUCCCAAUCCCCUUCUCAGCCCCCCUCCCCCUCUCUUUACCAAUACCCCUCUCUGUCCCCCUCCCCCUCUCUUUACCAAUACCCCUCUCUGUCCCCCUCCCCCUCUGUAGGCCAAACCACCACUCCGCCCACCUCCCCCUCUCUUUCCCAUUCCCCCUCUCUGGCCCCCUCCCACUCUGUGGCCCAAACACCCUCUCUGCCCCCCUCCCCCUCUCAAUCAGACCCACCCUCUGUAAACAACUCCCCAUUCCAUCCUCCUUCCCAAAUCCCUCCUCCUUCCCCAUCCAGCCUCCUUCCCCCAUCCAGCCUCCUUCCCCACCCAGUGAAUGGGCAGCAGAAGCCCCUGAGGCUGUUGAGGGUGCUGCGCAUGUGGCUGAUGAGAAUGGUGCAGUUGGAGAUCCCACAAGCCUGCCUGGCAUCCUUGCCAGCUUAAAUGCCCAUUUGCAGGCCAUGAUGGCUGAUGUGAAAUGGCUGCAAAAAUUUUGUUAAAUUUGUCUUUUUUUUUUAAUAAUAUGUUACACUAAACCAAAAAAAAAUAUUGUUAAAAAAAUAAAAAAUUUUUUUUACAGUUAA